rnacentral:rRNA from 1 species
AUUGAACGCUGGCGGCAGGCCUAACACAUGCAAGUCGAACGGUAACAGGAAGAAGCUUGCUUCUUUGCUGACGAGUGGCGGACGGGUGAGUAAUGUCUGGGAAACUGCCUGAUGGAGGGGGAUAACUACUGGAAACGGUAGCUAAUACCGCAUAACGUCGCAAGACCAAAAAGGGGGACCUUCGGGCCUCUUGCCAUCGGAUGUGCCCAGAUGGGAUUAGCUAGUAGGUGGGGUAACGGCUCACCUAGGCGACGAUCCCUAGCUGGUCUGAGAGGAUGACCAGCCACACUGGAACUGAGACACGGUCCAGACUCCUACGGGAGGCAGCAGUGGGGAAUAUUGGACAAUGGGCGCAAGCCUGAUGCAGCCAUGCCGCGUGUAUGAAGAAGGCCUUCGGGUUGUAAAGUACUUUCAGCGGGGAGGAAGGGAGUAAAGUUAAUACCUUUGCUCAUUGACGUUACCCGCAGAAGAAGCACCGGCUAACUCCGUG